GCCGCGGUAAUACAGAGGGUGCAAGCGUUAAUCGGAAUUACUGGGCGUAAAGCGAGCGUAGGUGGCUUGAUAAGUCAGAUGUGAAAUCCCCGGGCUUAACCUGGGAACUGCAUCUGAAACUGUUAGGCUAGAGUAGGUGAGAGGGAAGUAGAAUUUCAGGUGUAGCGGUGAAAUGCGUAGAGAUCUGAAGGAGUACCGAUGGCGAAGGCAGCUUCCUGGCAUCAUACUGACACUGAGGCUCGAAAGCGUGGGUAGCAAACAGGAUUAGAUACCCUGGUAGUCCACGCCGUAAACGAUGUCUACUAGUCGUUGGGUCCCUUGAGGACUUAGUGACGCAGCUAACGCAAUAAGUAGACCGCCUGGGGAGUACGGCCGCAAGGUUAAAACUCAAAUGAAUUGACGGGGGCCCGCACAAGCGGUGGAGCAUGUGGUUUAAUUCGAUGCAACGCGAAGAACCUUACCUGGUCUUGACAUACACAGAAUCUUGUAGAGAUACGAGAGUGCCUUCGGGAAUUGUGAUACAGGUGCUGCAUGGCUGUCGUCAGCUCGUGUCGUGAGAUGUUGGGUUAAGUCCCGCAACGAGCGCAACCCUUGUCCUUAGUUACCAGCACUUCGGGUGGGAACUCUAAGGAUACUGCCAGUGACAAACUGGAGGAAGGCGGGGACGACGUCAAGUCAUCAUGGCCCUUACGACCAGGGCUACACACGUGCUACAAUGGUAGGUACAGAGGGCAGCUACACAGCGAUGUGAUGCGAAUCUCAAAAAGCCUAUCGUAGUCCAGAUUGGAGUCUGCAACUCGACUCCAUGAAGUAGGAAUCGCUAGUAAUCGCGGAUCAGAAUGCCGCGGUGAAUACGUUCCCGGGCCUUGUACACACCGCCCGUCACACCAUGGGAGUUGAUUGCACCAGAAGUGGUUAGCCUAACUUAGUGAGGGCGAUCACCACGGUGUGGUCGAUGACUGGGGUGAAGUCGUAACAAGGUAACCA
rnacentral:rRNA from 1 species